rnacentral:rRNA from 1 species
UACGUAGGGGGCAAGCGUUGUCCGGAUUUAUUGGGCGUAAAGAGCGUGUAGGCGGCCAGAUAGGUCUGUUGUGAAAACUCGAGGCUCAACCUCGAGACGCCGAUGGAAACCAUUUGGCUAGAGUCCGGAAGAGGAGAGUGGAAUUCCUGGUGUAGCGGUGAAAUGCGCAGAUAUCAGGAGGAACACCGGUGGCGAAGGCGGGUCUCUGGGCAACAACUGACGCUGAGGAGCGAAAGCGUGGGGAGCGAACAGG